CAAAAAUAAUAAACAAACGGGCUCUAUUGCUACUCAUUUUUUUUCGAUGAUAGAGCCUCCAAAUCGACAAUCGGUAUCAUUGAAAAUGAUCUAUACCACUUGAAGUAUGUAGAAAUCAAAUUUCAUACUUUUUCGAUAUUAUUCUCUUGUUCAUCAAGUCGACGUAAAAAUUAACGGCUGAUGCAUAGAGUAGAGCUACUAUGCUAUCGGAAGUAUAGAGUAUCUGGUGCUUUUGAAUUUUUGGCCUUUAGAUCAACCCUUUGAUCAUUUUUAACCUUUGGAUUAAUAUUAUUACCUUGUGGGGACCACUCAACCCUAGGGAUACUACUCAAUCCUAGGGGAAAUCGCAAUCAUCCCAACUGUACGAUUUUUUAUUUAAAGGUCAAAAAGUCGGAAGUAUAAAACCCUCUAUACUUCUGAUAGCAGAGUAGCUCUACACUAUAUAUAUAUAUAUAUAUAUAUAUAUAUAUAUAUAGAGAGAGUUGAGCUAUGAUCGAUACUUUUACAAGUAUCAUCAUCAUGGUGCUAUUAGGUUUUAAGCCAUUGGAUCUACUUUUUGAUUAUUAAUAGCCCUUGGAUUAAACACUAUUCCACCUACCACCACCUACCACCAUCAUCUCAACCUCACAUCUCUCCAUCAAAGGGCUAAAAACAUACAAGUAUCACUCCCAUGAUGCUUUUACAAGUAUUCUAGCCCUACUAUAUAUAUAUAUAUAUAUAUAUAUAUAUAUAGUCCGUCUCCCGUACUUUCGAAAGUACGGGAGGCCCCGUACUUGUAAGUUGUUUUCGAUGAUAGGAAAAAAAAUUUUUUUCUUUAACAUAUGUCUAUAUUUAUCUCAAACUGACCCGAUGAUAGUUAUCAUUUGACGAGCCAAAUGAUGGCUAAAGAAAAACUACUAUUUUGAAGGUUUAGCUGCUAGCCGUAGCAACUUGUACUAGAUCUAGUAAAUUUAAUAGAUCUUCAGUUUAAAGUACUAAAAAACCGUAGUGAUUGACUUGCUAGUUUCCCAGUGUUUUAAUAUUAAAAUUACCGGCUAUACCACGCAAACGAGCAAAUUGCCAUAUCUUUUCAAGUUUAGUUGAUUUAAAAACAAUUUUUUAAGAAAUUUGAUAAAUUUUAUUGUAGAUCUGAGAUCUAGAGUUUAUAUUUUUAACAUAGUAGUGAAAAACUUCCUAUAAGUAAAGGUCAGUAAGUAAAAAGACAAGUGAACUACCUGUUCUCUUGUUAUAGCUUUUACACACUUUAAACUAAAGGUUUAUCAAAUUUAUCAAAUCUAGUACAAAUUGUCACGGCUAGUAGUUAAACCUUCGAGAUAGUAGCUUUUGUUUAGCCAUCAUUUGGCUCGGUAAAUGAUGGCUAUCAUAAGAUCGUCUUGAGAGAGAGAGAGAGAGAGAGAGAGAGAGAUAUAUAUAUAUAUAUAUUAACUCGAGGAUACGAAAAUUUUCAUGGUUCAAUAACCACGAACAUCUAAAAAUCGGUAACCUAAUUCUCUAUACGCCAAUCCUACUACACCCGGAGGAUCCCAACUCACCCACCAACCAACUUAUCAUAUUAGAUUACCAACUUUUACUAGGCUUCUCAUCUAGAUUGCCAUUUUUUGAAUGUUCGUGGUUUAUGAACCAUGAAAAUGUUCGUGGUAUCGACCUGAUAUAUAUAUAUAUAUAUAUCCGACCAUAUGAUAGCCAUGAUGGUUCAACAAAAGUUACUACGCCAAAAGUUUAGCUGCUAGUCGAGGCAAUCUGAACUAGAUACGAUAACUUUCAUAAACUUUUGAUUUAAAGUCUUCAUAUAGCUAUCAUAUGGUCAGAUCGAGAUAUAUAUAUAUCUCUCUCUCUCUCUCUCUCUCUCUCUCAGGCCGACCCCAUAAUAGCUAUCGUGAUUCCUAAACCACGAUAGCUCAAAAGGUGGCAAUCUAAAUUGGGAAACUUAUAAAAAUGGGCAAUCUAAUAUGAUAAGUUGGUUGGUGGAUGAGUUAGGAUUCCCCGGGUGUAGAAGCAUUGGUGGGUAAAGAGUUAGAUUCCCGAUUUUUUGAUUAUUGUGGUUAUCGAACCAGGAUAACUAUCAUAAGGUCGGAUCAAAAUAUAUAUAUAUAUAUAUAUAUUAAUACGAUGAUAUGAUAGUUAUCAUGGUUCGGGAACCAUGAUAACUCAAAAGCCGACAACCUACUUUCCUACACGCCAAUCCUACUAUCACCAGGGGCCAAUUUAACUAUCACCAGGGGAUACCAACUCACCUACCAACCAAAUUAUCAUAUUAGAUUGCCUACUUUUACUAGUUUCCCAGCUAGAUUGCCAUCUUUUGAGUUAUCAUAGUUCCCGAACCAUGAUAGCUAUCAUAUCAUCGGCCAGAGAGAUAUAUAUAUAUAUAUAUAUAUAUAUAUAUAUCUCGAUCCGAGGAUACGAAAGCUUUCAUGCCCUCCGGGACACGAACAUUCAACAAAAGCUACUACCCUGUAGAUUAAGCCGCUAGUCAAAGCAAUUUGAACUAGAUGCGAUAACCUUGAUAGAUCUUUGGUUUAAAGUAUUAAAAAACUAAAGCAAACAGGUCACUUGCUCAUCGGAGUUUUACUUGCCAACUUUUACUUUUAGAGUAUUUUUUGUCACUAUUUUCUAAGUUUAAAAUUUAGCCUUCAUAACUAGAACGAUGACUAUAAUUCAUCUUAAAAGAUAAUUUAAAAGUACAUUAAACCUAUGAAGAUGUGGCAACUUGAAUUUUUACACGAUGUAGCUGGCAAUUUUAUCAGUAAAAAAUCUGGAAAACUAGCGAAUCAUUUACUACAUUUUUUUUUAGAUUUUAAACCAAAGAUCUAUCAAGGUUAUCCCAUCUAGUAUGGAUUGCCUCGGCUAGCAGCUUAGCUUGCNUUUUUUUUUUUUUUUUUUUUUUUUUUUUUUUUUGCGUCUUCUCGUCACGUGCCGAGGCCUUGUUGCCUCACCCAUAUAGCUUAAUUCACGUUCUUAUUGAAUGAAGCGGGUAGCAUGCUAUCUUUCUCUCAAAAAAAAAAAAUAAUUACUCCUAACUGUUAUGCUGUGUAGGCCAUUUCAUUUUGUAGUGCUAUACUGAAAAAGAAAAAGACAUAUGUUUGUUUUCUCUCUCUCCCUCUUUUCUCUCUCUACACACAAAAUCCGCAUUCAUUUUAAUCAAUUAUCAAUAUAGAAUUGAGAACUCAUACAAUAUGAUCACCUUAGAAAUCGUAUCCACACGUAAAAUAGGACCACAAAUUAUAAUUUUUUACCUUCGAAUAUCCAUCCGUAUUUUAUGAAAUUUUGGCAAUAAGCAAUCUAUAUUUACCUUUAAUGCUUGUUUUAAGCUUCUCGAUCUUCGUGCCUGAGAGUAUCUGGAGAUGCCAACCCUCCUAAAACUAGGACAACCUGCUCAAAUAUAACACUACUGUGUCACCAACAUCCUAAAAUGAUAUGCCAAAAAUAAUAAACAAAAAAAAGGGUUAAUUUGCCAAAAACAUCAAAAAGGGUUAAUUUGUCAAAAACAUCAAACCAUUAUUUUGUCAACAAUAGUUAUAGAUAUAGAUCGUAAGCGCUAACCAAUAAUUUUAAAAAGAUGCAUGUGUUGAUAAAAAGGACGCACUCAUCACUCUAUCAUCUUAUUACUUAGGGCCCCGUGAUCUUAUAUAUAUAUAGCUAAGCUGGAAUACUAUCGGUAGCAAACGAGCUCCGUUGCUAUUCAUUUAUUUUCGAUAAUAGAGCCUCCAAAUCGACAAUCGAUACCAUUGAAAAUGAUCUAUACCACUUGAAGUAUGUAGAAAUCAAAUUUCAUACUUUUUCGAUAUUGUUCUCUUGUUCAUCAAGUGGACGUAAAAAUUAACGACUGAAGCAUAGAGUAGAGCUACUAUGCUAUCGGAAGUAUAGAGUAUCUGGUGCUUCUGAAUUUUUGGCUUUUAGAUCAACCCCUUUAAUCAUUUUUAACCUUUGAAUUAAUACUAUUACCUUGUGGGGACCACUCAACCCUAGAGAUACUACUCAAUCCUAGGGGAAAUCGCAAUCAUCCCAACCGUACAAUUUUUUAUUUAAAGGUCAAAAAGUCGGAAGUAUAAAACCCUCUAUACUUCUGAUAGCAGAGUAGCUCUACACUAUAUA
rnacentral:lncRNA from 1 species